CCCACAAGUCGAGCAGGUACGAAAGUAGGUCUUAGUGAUCCGGUGGUUCUGUAUGGAAGGGCCAUCGCUCAACGGAUAAAAGGUACUCUGGGGAUAACAGGCUGAUACCGCCCAAGAGUUCAUAUCG
rnacentral:rRNA from 1 species